CGUGCAUGCAGGGGACAGCGUGCAUCCAGCAUUCAUCCAGGGACAGCGUGCAUCCAGGGGACAGCGUGCACCCAGGGGACAGCUUGUGCCUGGGGGACAGCAUGUGUCCAGAGGGCCAGCCCUGUCCCUGCCACUUCCCUCCAGAGCUCCCACUGUGACAGCAAGGCAGGUGACAAGCCCCCGGCAUCCCCCCUGUGGACGCGGCGAUGGCACUGGCUCUGCUGCGCCACCCUGUCCUCACCGCUCAGCGCACCCGAGCCCCCACGCAGGGACACGGUGUGUCCCCACGCUGUCACCCCGAGGACGUGCAGACCCUGGUGCUUCUGGACAUCUCCAGCCCAGCCUUGGCCAUGGCUUGGCCUCACCUCCACGGCCACAGUCCUGCUUUUGGGACAUCCCCAUCCCUCGGGGGCUGCAGGGACGGGGGGCACCGGCGGGCAGCCUCGCAGCUCCGCAGGCUUUGUACCAUUUUGCUUUAUCGGGGACUUUCCCCCCCCCCCCCCCCCCUUUAUCGCUGUAAAUUUCUCUUCUGCUACAUUACAGGCGAAGAACAAAUGAAGCACCCGAGCCGGGCGGGCAGUGCUCGUCCAGAGGUACUUACGCAAAUCGUUAGCGCGUUAAUGACUGCGCCAGCAGCCGCUGCAGGUGGCCGGGCAGCAAUAAGGAAGACCCCGGGCGCGCGGAGGACGUUCAUUUAGUGCCGGAUUAAAUAAAAGAGUAAUAGGCAACAUCCGCGGGCAGCGGGACGAGUUGUGCCUCGCUCACCUCCGUGCUGGCCGGGCUGCGGCUGCAAGAGGGGAUUUCUGCCACCCAGCACCAUCCAGCCCCUCGUGGGGCCGGGGGUGGCCCCCAAGUGACAGCGGAGCUGAGGUCUCACUGCUGGCACCAGCACUUAGCGGCCCACAAGUACACAAGCUCCCAGCGAUCUGGAAACCCGGAGGGCUGCACGUGCCCCCUGCGAGGCGAAGCCUCAUCCCUCUGCCACCGAGGUCCCCGGCGGGGCAGGCUGUCGGCGAGGGGUGGCUCCGGUGACAGCGGUGACCUCGGCGCUGGGUGGCCCGUGGCAGGGCGCAGGAGCGAGCUGGGGUCGCUGGAGAGGAUGCUCGGGGCGCACUUCCUCGGUGCUGUCCCAGCAGCGCUGCACGCCCACGGAGCAGCUGCGGAGCGGGCACGCAUCCGGCACUCCAAGGAGCCCCAGGAAUGUGGCCUGACCGCAUCCUGAAGCCGCCAAAUUCUCAGCGCGCCGCACCUCGGAGAUGCCAGGUCCUGGCUGAUGGGGGAAGCCCUGAGAUCCCACGGGCUGUCCCCAAGGGGGGACGGUGGAAAUGCAGAGCUUUGCCCACCGGGACCAGAGCAGGGAGCAGCAGGAAGGGGCACCAGCACCCCGAGGAUCUGAGCACAGCGCCAGGGCGCUGACACCGAGAUCCUCGGCAGCAGGCAGGAGGCGCGGCGGGGCGGAGAGGAAACGCACGGUUACCCCUGGCUCUCCUGGGAGUUGUCCUUGAAUAAAUGCAGCG